UGGGGGGGCGUGCUAUAAUGCAGUCGAGCGAACUGAUUAGAAGCUUGCUUCUAUGACGUUAGCGGCGGACGGGUGAGUAACACGUGGGCAACCUGCCUGUAAGACUGGGAUAACUUCGGGAAACCGAAGCUAAUACCGGAUAGGAUCUUCUCCUUCAUGGGAGAUGAUUGAAAGAUGGUUUCGGCUAUCACUUACAGAUGGGCCCGCGGUGCAUUAGCUAGUUGGUGAGGUAACGGCUCACCAAGGCAACGAUGCAUAGCCGACCUGAGAGGGUGAUCGGCCACACUGGGACUGAGACACGGCCCAGACUCUACGGGAGGCAGCAGUAGGGAAUCUUCCGCAAUGGACGAAAGUCUGACGGAGCAACGCCGCGUGAGUGAUGAAGGCUUUCGGGUCGUAAAACUCUGUUGUUAGGGAAGAACAAGUACGAGAGUAACUGCUCGUACCUUGACGGUACCUAACCAGAAAGCCACGGCUAACUACGUGCCAGCAGCCGCGGUAAUACGUAGGUGGCAAGCGUUAUCCGGAUUAUUGGGCGUAAAGCGCGCGCAGGCGGUUUCUUAAGUCUGAUGUGAAAGCCCACGGCUCAACCGUGGAGGGUCAUUGGAAACUGGGGAACUUGAGUGCAGAAGAGAAAAGCGGAAUUCCACGUGUAGCGGUGAAAUGCGUAGAGAUGUGGAGGAACACCAGUGGCGAAGGCGGCUUUUUGGUCUGUAACUGACGCUGAGGCGCGAAAGCGUGGGGAGCAAACAGGAUUAGAUACCCUGGUAGUCCACGCCGUAAACGAUGAGUGCUAAGUGUUAGAGGGUUUCCGCCCUUUAGUGCUGCAGCUAACGCAUUAAGCACUCCGCCUGGGGAGUACGGUCGCAAGACUGAAACACAAGGAAUUGACGGGGGCCCGCACAAGCGGUGGAGCAUGUGGUUUAUUCGAAGCACGCGAGACCUUACCAGGUCUUGACAUCCUCUGACACUCUAGAGAUAGAGCGUUCUCCUUCCGGGGACAAAAGUGACAGGUGGUGGCAUGGGUUGUCGUU
rnacentral:rRNA from 2 species